rnacentral:rRNA from 1 species
AUUGAACGCUGGCGGCAGGCCUAACACAUGCAAGUCGAGCGGUAACACAGAGGAGCUUGCUCCUUGGGUGACGAGCGGCGGACGGGUGAGUAAUGCCUGGGGAUCUGCCCGAUAGAGGGGGAUAACUACGGGAAACUGUAGCUAAUACCGCAUAACGUCUACGGACCAAAGUGGGGGCUCUUCGGACCUCAUGCUAUCGGAUGAACCCAGGUGGGAUUAGCUAGUUGGUGAGGUAAUGGCUCACCAAGGCGACGAUCUCUAACUGGUUUGAGAGAAUGACCAGUCACACUGGAACUGAGACACGGUCCAGACUCCUACGGGAGGCAGCAGUGGGGAAUAUUGCACAAUGGGCGCAAGCCUGAUGCAGCCAUGCCGCCAGCGUUCAAUCUGAGCCAUGAUCAAACCCUGACAAUUC